rnacentral:rRNA from 1 species
AACGCCGCGUGAGUGAAGAAGGUUUUCGGAUCGUAAAGCUCUGUUGUAAGAGAAAAACGAGUGUGAGAGUGGAAAGUUCACACUGUGACGGUAUCUUACCAGAAAGGGACGGCUAACUACGUGCCAGCAGCCGCGGUAAUACGUAGGUCCCGAGCGUUAUCCGGAUUUAUUGGGCGUAAAGCGAGCGCAGGCGGUUAGAUAAGUCUGAAGUUAAAGGCUGUGGCUUAACCAUAGUACGCUUUGGAAACUGUUUAACUUGAGUGCAAGAGGGGAGAGUGGAAUUCCAUGUGUAGCGGUGAAAUGCGUAGAUAUAUGGAGGAACACCGGUGGCGAAAGCGGCUCUCUGGCUUGUAACUGACGCUGAGGCUCGAAAGCGUGGGGAGCAAACAGGAUUAAAUACCCUGGUAGUCCACGCCGUAAACGAUGAGUGCUAGGUGUUGGGUCCUUUCCGGGACUCAGUGCCGCAGCUAACGCAUUAAGCACUCCGCCUGGGGAGUACGACCGCAAGGUUGAAACUCAAAGGAAUUGACGGGGGCCCGCACAAG